AUUGAACGCUGGCGGCAGGCCUAACACAUGCAAGUCGAGCGGAUGAAGGGAGCUUGCUCCUGGAUUCAGCGGCGGACGGGUGAGUAAUGCCUAGGAAUCUACCUGGUAGUGGGGGAUAACGUCCGGAAACGGGCGCUAAUACCGCAUACGUCCUGAGGGAGAAAGUGGGGGAUCUUCGGACCUCACGCUAUCAGAUGAGCCUAGGUCGGAUUAGCUAGUUGGUGGGGUAAAGGCCUACCAAGGCGACGAUCCGUAACUGGUCUGAGAGGAUGAUCAGUCACACUGGAACUGAGACACGGUCCAGACUCCUACGGGAGGCAGCAGUGGGGAAUAUUGGACAAUGGGCGAAAGCCUGAUCCAGCCAUGCCGCGUGUGUGAAGAAGGUCUUCGGAUUGUAAAGCACUUUAAGUUGGGAGGAAGGGCAGUAAGUUAAUACCUUGCUGUUUUGACGUUACCAACAGAAUAGGCACCGGCUAACUUCGUG
rnacentral:rRNA from 1 species